rnacentral:rRNA from 1 species
ACUGAAUUUCUAGCCCUACUCUUCUCUAUUUACUUCCUUUAUUUAUUUUCUACCAACCAAAACAUUUUAACAAUCUAGUAAAGGCGAUUAAAAAAUUUAUUGGCGCAAUAUACCUAGUACCGCAAGGGAAUGAUGAAAUAAAACUGAAACAACUCUCAAGCACAAAAAAGUAGAGUUUAACCCUCGUACCUUUUGCAUCAUGAUUUAACUAGUCUAACCAAGCAAAAAGACUUUUAGUUUGACUCCCCGAAACUAAGCGAGCUACUUUAGAACAGCUUUAUGAGCAAACCCGUCUCUGUUGCAAAAGAGUGGGAAGAUUUUAAAAUAGCGGUGAAAAACCAAACGAGCCUAGUGAUAGCUGGUUGCUCAUGAAAAGGAUUUAAGUCCUGCUUAAAGAUAUAUUUAUUCAACAAAAUUUUUCUUUAAAGUAAUUCAAAUAAGGUACAGCCUAUUUGAAAAAGGAUACAACCUCCACUUUUGGGUUACUCUUCACGAAUCAAUAAUAAAGUAGGCCUAAAAGCAGCCAUCUAAGAUAAAAGCGUCAUAGCUUCCUUAUUCAUUCAUAUAAUUCCUUUAUUUUUCUACCUAACCCUUUAUUAUUAAAAAGCAACUCUAUACCCCUAUAGAAAAUUUUAUGUUAAAACUAGUAAUAAGAAGACUAAUUCUUCUCCUUAAUGCAAAUGUAAAUCAGCAAGGAUCGUCCACUGAUCUUUAUCGUCAUUAACAUUAUAGUAGUAACUUACAAGAAAAAACUACUCCACAUUACGUUAACCUAACACAAGAGCAUUUUAAGAAAGAUUUAAAGAAAAAGAAGGAACUCGGCAAAUAUUAGCCUCGCCUGUUUACCAAAAACAUCGCCUCCCGAACCAUAUGGGAGGUCCAGCCUGCCCAGUGACAUUGUUCAACGGCCGCGGUAUCCUAACCGUGCGAAGGUAGCGUAAUCACUUGUUCUUUAAAUGAGGACUGGUAUGAACGGCUUCACGAAGGCUAUACUGUCUCCUUUUUCUAAUCAAUGAAACUAAUCUCCCCGUGAAGAAGCGGGGAUGAACCUAUAAGACGAGAAGACCCUAUGGAGCUUUAAACAACCGAAAUACCUGCUUUUAUGUCUUCUCACUUCAGAAAAUUAAAUUUAACUCAACAGCUUAUUUCCAGUUUUAGGUUGGGGUGACCACGGAGCAUAAACUAUCCUCCAUGCUGAAAGAGACUUCAUCUCUUAAUAUAAAGCUACAACUUCAUGCACCAACAAAUUGACUCCCAUUGACCCAAAUAAUUUGAUCAACGAACCAAGUUACCCUAGGGAUAACAGCGCAAUCUAUUUUAAGAGCUCCUAUCGACAAAUAGGUUUACGACCUCGAUGUUGGAUCAGGGUAUCCUAGUGGUGCAGCCGCUACUAACGGUUCGUUGUCAACGAUAAAAC